rnacentral:rRNA from 1 species
GAUGAACGCUAGCGGGAGGCUUAACACAUGCAAGCCGAGGGAGAAGUUGUUUUCGGACAACGGACACCGGCGGACGGGUGAGUAACAUGUAUGCAACUUGCCUCUAUCAGUGGGAAAACCGGGGGAAACCCGGCCAAAUACCCCAUAAAAAAGGAAUCGCAAUUGUUUUAUUUUAAAAGAUUUAUCGAUUAAGGAUAGGCAUGCGUAGGAUUAGUUAGUUGGUGAGGUAACGGCUCACCAAGACGAUGAUCCUUAGGGGGCCUGAGAGGGUGAUCCCCCACACUGGUACUGAGACACGGACCAGACUCCUACGGGAGGCAGCAGUGAGGAAUAUUGGACAAUGGGUGAGAGCCUGAUCCAGCCAUCCCGCGUGCAGGAAGACGGCCCUAUGGGUUGUAAACUGCUUUUAUACAGGAAUAAACCUACUCACGUGUGAGUAGUUGAAGGUACUGUAAGAAUAAGCAUCGGCUAACUCCGUG